AUUGAACGCUGGCGGCAGGCCUAACACAUGCAAGUCGAACGGUAACAGGAAGAAGCUUGCUUCUUUGCUGACGAGUGGCGGCCGGGUGAGUCAUGUCUGGGAAACUGCCUGAUGGAGGGGGAUAACUACUGGAAACGGUAGCUAAUACCGCAUAACGUCGCAAGACCAAAAAGGGGGACCUUCGGGCCUCUUGCCAUCGGAUGUGCCCAGAUGGGAUUAGCUAGUAGGUGGGGUAACGGCUCACCUAGGCGACGAUCCCUAGCUGGUCUGAGAGGAUGACCAGCCACACUGGAACUGAGACACGGUCCAGACUCCUACGGGAGGCAGCAGUGGGGAAUAUUGCACAAUGGGCGCAAGCCUGAUGCAGCCAUGCCGCGUGUAUGAAGAAGGCCUUCGGGUUGUAAAGUACUUUCAGCGGGGAGGAAGGGAGUAAAGUUAAUACCUUUGCUCAUUGACGUUACCCGCAGAAGAAGCACCGGCUAACUCCGUG
rnacentral:rRNA from 1 species